AUGCUCGCUUCAGCAGUACACACACUACAAUUGGGACAACCUAGAGAAGGCUGGCAUGGCCCCUGCACAAGGAUGACACACAAGCUUGUGAAACCAAGAACACCCCA
ensembl:snRNA U6 U6 spliceosomal RNA